AUGUUCAAACAGAAGGAGGAAGAGAAGGAGGGAGGAAGACAGAGAGAGAUAAAGACGGAUCUGUCUCUCUUUAUGCGAGCCGCCCACUCUUGCAGCAAGUGUCAUCUGUAUGUGUGGCAUAUUAAAGGCCUGUGGGAACUCAUUAGGGUGACAGACGCAGGGCUUACUCUCCCUCGCUUGGAUUGCCAUGUUUGUGCCAUGACGGGUUCAGAAAGUGCAGUGAGAGGGCAGAGGUGGCGUGCGGUGGGUAUCAGUGUUUUUCAGUCAAAUGUAAAUUCAUGUUCCAGUUGCGUUUGAUGUUGAUGUCAAAAGGUGUUUUGUUUCUUGAAUUUGAAUAUGUGAAUUUGACUUUGAAUAUUGUGAAAUUUGAAUAUUGAAUUGGAAUAUUGUGUUCUUUUUCAGGAGCUGAUUCUUCUGAGCCGAAUCUUACUGUAUAGCUUAAAACCUUUUUGAGUUAUUUCAAGCUGUAAUUUGGAAGUGACCAAAAAUGAUGACUUUUAUCUUGCCUAUAUCUCACCAUGAUUUAAGAGAAGAGUGUCUCCCUCUGAAACCCUUUCCACUGAUGUUGCUGUUUGGCAGUGUUACUUAUAUCUCAUAUUUCAUAAUAUUUUUUUCUGUUCUAUGCAUUAUUUCGAGAAGACUCUGCCUUCCUUGCCUCCUUGGAGGAAAUGUCUCUGGAGUGCAUGUGUGUUUUUUGUGAGCGUUUGUGAGUGUGUGCUGUGUAUAAGGGACUUUCCUUUGUCUUUGGGGAGCAGGUGACUCAUAAGUUUAACAGAUGUCAUAAUCGCACACCCAAACACACCAAAGUAGAAGUGUGAGAGAGUAUCACAUGACUGAAUACAGAUUGAGCCCGUCAUGUGUGGUCAGGUCAAAUAUGUGGUUGCUAAGUAGCUAACCCAGUUGCUUGGGUGAUGUGUACACAUGAUAAUAAAGCCCCCUGAGCUAUAAUGUGCUUGUAUUGU
ensembl:lncRNA